rnacentral:rRNA from 1 species
UACGCAGGCUGCAACCGUCAAUCGGAACUACUGGGCGUAAAGCGUGCGCAGGCGGUUAUAUAAGACAGAUGUGAAAUCCCCGGGCUCAACCUGGGAACUGCAUUUGUGACUGUAUAGCUAGAGUACGGCAGAGGGGGAUGGAAUUCCGCGUGUAGCAGUGAAAUGCGUAGAUAUGCGGAGGAACACCGAUGGCGAAGGCAAUCCCCUGGGCCUGUACUGACGCUCAUGCACGAAAGCAUGGGGGGCAGACAGGGUUAGAUAGCCCUGUAGUCC